rnacentral:lncRNA from 1 species
AAGCGAAAACCUCGACAAUCCAAUCCAGACAGUUUCCCUUGGCCAGUCCCUGUUCUUCCAUUUCCCCCCACUGCUCAGAGACGGCGAGAACUAUGUUGUGCUUCUGGACUCCACACUCCCCAGAUCCCAGUAUGACUACAUCUUGCCUCAAGUUUCUUUCACCGCAGUGGGCUACCAUAAACACAUCACCUUGAUUUUUAAUCCCACGAGGAAGCUGCCUGAACAGGACAUCGCACAAGGAUCCUACAUUGCCCUGCCAUUGACGCUGCUGGUUCUGCUGGCCGGUUACAACCAUGACAAGCUCAUUCCUUUGCUGCUGCAGUUGACAAGCCGGCUACAGGGAGUCCGCGCGCUCGGCCAGGCAGCCUCUGACAAUAGCGGCCCAGAAGAUGCAAAGAGACAAGCCAAGAAACAGAAGACAAGGCGGACUUGAGGAGGAAGGGGACAGUUGCAGUCUCACUUGGGACAGGCCACAGCCAGGGCCUUCGUUUGCAAGGAGAGUUCCAGUUGACGUGGUGUUUGGUUCCAUGGCGGGGUACCCUAGGGAUUCAUCUGUUUUCUUCACUUCCCUUUGCAUCUGAGAUCCUGCUGGAAACCACAGCAACCUGUAUCCACUAUUAGGAGGUAAAAAUCAAUAAAAUGGCCCAUUCAUUUGUGUUGUAGCUC